rnacentral:rRNA from 1 species
UCCGUAGGUGGUUUGUCAAGUCUGUCGUCAAAGAAUGGAGCUUAACUCCAUAGAGGCGGUGGAAACUGAGAGACUAGAGUUCGGUAGGGGUAGCGGGAAUUCCCAGUGUAGCGGUGAAAUGCGUAGAUAUUGGGAAGAACAUCGGUGGCGAAAGCGCGCUACUGGGCCGAAACUGACACUGAGGGACGAAAGCUAGGGUAGCGAAAG